GAACGCACAUUGCGCCCUCUGGUAUUCCGGAGGGCAUGCCUGUCCGAGCGUCAUUGCUGCCCUCAAGCACGGCUUGUGUGUUGGGCCCCGCCCCCCGAUCCCGGGGGGCGGGCCCGAAAGGCAGCGGCGGCACCGCGUCCGGUCCUCGAGCGUAUGGGGCUUUGUCACCCGCUCUGUAGGCCCGGCCGGCGCUUGCCGAUCAACCAAACUUUUUUCCAGGUUGACCUCGGAUCAGGUAGGGAUACCCGCUGAACUUAAG
rnacentral:misc_RNA from 1 species